rnacentral:lncRNA from 1 species
AUAUUUUGAAUGAUUUUGAAUGUCUAUGUAGCGCAAACACUGCGUCUGAGUGUAUCAAAAAAGUUGUGAAGAUAUACAUGUACACGCUAUAUGAAGGUUAUAAAAGACCUGUUUAAUAAUAAGAGCAAUUGCAGAUCUGUAUUUGUACGGUGGAGUAUGAUUAUAACAUUGUAGAUCUGUUGUAGAUUUGUUUGAAUAGAAAUUCGUGUAGAUACAUGCAUGUAAGAAUAGAAGCGAUGUACUAGUAUAUCUGAAAUAUCUGAAUGGAGUAUGAUAGGUGUCAGAGAAUCGCUACUAAUCAUUUUGAUUUGCUGGAUCUUAUAACUGAUAAAUAUAUUUGUGUCUUUUUUUUUAAUUUAUAUUUGAUAAAAGAUAAAGUAUAAUGUCAACCUGUGUGAAAAAAAACCGUAGUAAAAUAUUAUGUAUAUCUUUCAAAUCUUUUUCAAACUUGAAGAACAAUCAGCAUGAUAACAAUCAACAAAACAUUAAAUAAGACACAUCACAAUCACACAUUUGCACUUAUUUGAAAUUAAUAUCAGAAUAUGAGAAGCAUAUGAACUGAAACAGAAAUAUAAGCUGGUAAAUCCCUGUUCUUAUAUAAUAUAUGCAUGUACAAAAUUUAUGUUGCUCGAGAAUUAACUAGACAAACCUUUUUCCAACAAUUUGUUUUUAAAAUAUAUUGUAUUUUUAUGAUAACUCACAGUCCUACCUCAUUGUAAUCAUUUUAAAUCAAACAAAUCUAUAACUACCCAUUACCUCGAUAUUGAAAGUAUGUGUUAGUGAUAAAAAAAAUAUAGAAGCAUUUUUUAAAGUGAAUUUUAGUUUUCUUAUGUUUUGCUUUAUAUUAGAUGCAUGUAUGUAUCUUUUAUGUCAUUUAUACAUGUAAUUUUACAAUAUUUUGUAUACUUUUUUUUAAAUAUCCAUAUAUAAGUAAAAUGUAUUUUAACUGAUAAACUAACUGUAUAUUGAAUUUUUGAAUAGGACAGGCAGAUAUAUGUUAACCUCCAGUGUCUAAUCUGCGAGAUGUCUGCAUAUAGACAGAAAAGAAAAAUGGUGAAUUAUUAUAUUAUACAUUUAUAUAACUUUCAUUGAUUGGCCGACACACGGACAUAUUUUUUUUGUUUUUAUUCUGUAUCAAAAUGAUUAAAUAGACCGUGUUUCUAGACACUAGCUUUCUGUUUUACAUUUAGAGCUAGACUAACGCCCCAAUUCUGUGACUUUGCAGUAUUAUUAGUAAAUUGGUUAGAUAAAAUAUGUUAUAAAGUAUGACACAUUCAGUAUUAUACAGACACAUCCUAGCAGUAUUAUAUUCGGUUUCCAUCUCCCCUUUAUUUAAAGUCACCUACACUAACUGUUAACGUUCAUGGAUAUUUAAAUUUAAUGAUUGAUAAAGUUUAGCUUUUGUUUCUUUUGAAAAAUCAGCAAGGCAUCAAUUAUUACCCUAAACCGAUUUUUAUUUUCAUAAUAAUAUAUACAAGCCUGUCACAUUAAAACAAACUCUUCAAACACAUACUUAACGUGUCUUAUUAUAUAUACAUAGAAAUAUU